rnacentral:misc_RNA from 1 species
GAUGAAGAACGCAGCGAAAUGCGAUAAGUAAUGUGAAUCGCAGAAUUCAGUGAAUCAUCGAAUCUUUGAACGCACAUUGCGCCCCUUGGUAUUCCGAGGGGCAUGCCUGUUCGAGCGUCAUUAUAACCCCUCAAGCUCAGCUUGGUGUUGGGGCCUGCUGCACUGGCAGCCCUUAAAAUCAGUGGCGGCGCCGUCUGGCUCUAAGCGUAGUAAUUCUUCUCGCUAUGGAGUCCUGGUGGAUGCUUGCCAUCAACCCCCAAUUUUUCUAUGGUUGACCUCGGAUCAGGUAGGGAUACCCGCUGAACUUAAGCAUAUCAAUAAGCGGAGGA